CGCCCGGCGGCUCCGCCACCUCCUCCAUCCUGCGGGCCCCCCCCCACCCGCAGUUCACGUGGGGACGUGGAGCGGGGUCGCAAACGGCCUCUCAACGGCAGCCCUGCAGGGUCAAGCGCAGAGGGAAGUAGUUCCAUUGAAAUGUGACAUCAGUUUCCAUGACGACAGAAUGAGGUCAAUCACACACGUGCAGGAUGGAACAGAAACCCUGUGGUGAAGGUAGAAGACAAGGAGGAGGAGGAGAGUACUUACUGGCUAAACAAACUUAGGUACACUUGCACCCUAAACUCUACAGAAUGAGAGCAAGAGUACUGUGACAUGAUCAAGCAACACAGAGGUUGGCAGAGAAACAUCUUCAGCCAAAUGAGAUCUGGUGCAGAUAGCAUUCAAAAGGAUUAAAAGGAAACAGACAUGAGGUGAAAGGGUUAGGUGUUCAAAGAAACUGGACGGAAUGGAGUCCUAUUUUUCAGCUGAAGGAGUAACCUGGCUGUUUUAGCUGUGCCCCACACAGAGGAGUUUUUAAACAAAGAACAGGACAAACACAAUCUCAUUAAGUUAAUAAAACCGAAAC